GCGGGCAUCGCCAAGUGGUAAGGCAUCAGCUUCCCAAGCUGACAUUCGCGGGUUCGAGUCCCGUUGCCCGCUCCA
rnacentral:tRNA from 15 species